AGAAACCACCCGGGCGCAUACGCGGUGCGGCCGCUGCUUCAGGUCGGCGGGCUCCAGGGAGACCUGGGUGGGCAGCGUCGCCGUUUCUCCUUUCUUGGGCAGUAUUUUUCCCAGCGCCACGCGGAGGCUGGGCCAUUAUGAGCUCUGCAUUUCCAGGACCUGGUCACUAUUCAGGACACGGUUCCAGCGCAGUGCGCGUUAGCCAUGUCUCAGGGAUGAGUGACAUUCCAAGAUGUGGCCAUUGACUUCUCCAAGGAAGAGUGGGGAUUCCUGAACCCUGCUCAGAGAGAUUUGUACACAACUGUGAUGCUGGAGAAUUAUCAGAACCUGGUCUGGCUGGGACUUUCCAUUUCUAAAUCUGUGAUUUCACUGUUGGAGAAAAGGAAACUGCCUUGGAUAAUGGCAAAAGAAGAGAUAAGAGGCCCAUUGCCAGGAUAUUUCAAGGUGUCAGAGAUGACCAUCUCCCAGGAGCCAAAGGCAAAGACUAGAACUCUCUUUGGAAAAGAUGUGCCAGGUGCAGAGAUUAAGGAGUUAUCUGCAAAGAGGGCUAUUAAUGAAGUAUUAUCGCAGUUUGACACAGUGAUAAAAUGUACAAGAAACGUAUGUAAGGAAUGUGGAAAUCUAUACUGCCACAAUAUGCAGCUUACUCUCCAUAAGAGAAAUCAUACACAAAAGAAAUGCAAUCAGUGUUUAGAUUGUGGGAAAUACUUCACUCGUCAAUCAACUCUCAUUCAGCAUCAAAGAAUCCACACGGGAGAGAGACCCUAUAAAUGUAACGAAUGUAUUAAAACCUUCAACCAGAGGGCACACCUUACCUAGCAUGAGAGAAUUCACACUGGUGAGAAACCUUACAAAUGUAAGGAAUGCAGGAAAACCUUCAGCCAGAUGACUCAUCUCACACAGCAUCAGACUACACAUACGAGAGAAAAGUUCCAUGAAUGCAGUGAAUGUGGAAAGGCCUUCAGCCGUGUCUCAGCUCUUAUAGAUCACCAGCGAAUUCAUAGUGGAGAAAAGCCGUAUGAAUGUAAGGAGUGUGGAAGAGCCUUCACUCAAAGUGCCCAGCUCAUUAGACAUCAGAAAACUCAUUCUGGAGAAAAACCCUAUGAGUGUAGUAAGUGUAAGAAAUCUUUUGUGCACCUGUCUUCCCUGAUUGAACAUUGGAGAAUUCACACUGGAGAAAAACCAUAUCAAUGUAAGGACUGCAAAAAGACCUUUUGUCGUGUGAUGCAGUUCACUCUGCACAGGAGAAUUCAUACUGGUGAAAAACCCUAUGAAUGCAAGGAAUGUGGAAAGUCCUUCAGCGCCCAUUCUUCUCUUGUUACUCAUAAGAGAACACACAGUGGAGAAAAACCGUAUAAAUGCAAGGAAUGUGGAAAAGCCUUCAGUGCGCACUCUUCCCUUGUUACUCAUAAGAGAACACACAGUGGAGAGAAACCCUAUACAUGCCAUGCCUGUGGGAAGGCCUUUAAUACUUCCUCCACACUUUGUCAACAUAAUAGAAUUCAUACUGGUGAAAAACCCUUUCAGUGCAGUCAAUGCGGGAAGUCCUUUAGCUGCAGCUCUCACCUUACUCGACACUGUAGAAUGUGUAAUGGAAAAUUUAGCAAAUAACCAAAACUCAAAAUGUUAAUUCUGAUUAUUCUGUAUCAUCACCAGUACUUUGUACUUUGAGUCUUUUUAAAUAUGCUCUGUUAGUUUGUAUGGAAUGAUAUUUCAUUGCACUUUUAAUUUAACUUAAAAAUGCCUUCCCUUGACUGUUGAUAUGUAUUUUUUGUGAAGUGUGUGUUGAAGCCUUGCAGAUUAUUUUUUAAAUUAGAGGUUUAUCACUAGGUAUAUCUCCUAAUGCUAUCCCUCCCCCCUCCCCCUAAUGUAAAUGACGAGUUAAUGGUGCAGCACACCAACAUGGCACAUGUAUACAUAUGUAACAAACCUGCACGUUGUGCACAUGGUACCCUAAAACUUAAAGUAUAAUUAAAAAAAAAAAUUAGA
ensembl:lncRNA ZNF542P zinc finger protein 542, pseudogene